rnacentral:pre_miRNA from 1 species
GGGAUGAGGUAGUAGUUUGUAUAGUUUUAGGAUCACACCAGAUCUGGGAGAUAACUAUACAGUCUACUGUCUUUCC